CGAAAAUAGCAUAAUUAUAAUAGUUGCUUGGAUAUUGUAGAUAAACGUAUGGAUGGUUUAGAUGUAAAAUAAGAUUAAUGAAUGAAUAGUAAGAUUCUAUCUAUCGCAUUUAUAUUCAUGUAAAAAUGUUAUUCUUUAAUCUUUCAUUUAAGAUUUAUUGAGUAUACAACAAUUAAUAAACACAGACACAGAUCGCACGUUAAAAACCAUAUUUAAUGCAUGUAUCAAAAGAGCAAUAAAUAAUUUUAAAAAAUUUGAUCAAUGAUAAAAUUUUGACACUCUUAACAGCGCUUUUAAUAGCGUAUUAAUAAUUAAAAAUAUAAUAUAAUACUAAAAAAUAUUUAAUUUUUGCUCAAAAAUUUUUUGAUACUUUUUAUAUUAUUAUCGUAAAGAUAUAUACAAGAAAAAGAUCGAAAUAAUAAUAACCGUAGAUUGAAGAAGCAGUCUAAUCGUCAAAAGUUGUAUUCGAAUAGAAGAAAAAAGAAGGAAGAGAAAGAACUAAAAGGACGAUCCCAUUUGGGGCACUGAGUUGGCGCGCAGAGAGGGUACAUAAACGCGGCCAGACGACCAGAACGAUCCCAAUAUGUCAGCCCCUCUUUGCUGAGAUAAACUCGCAGGACGUGCGUUGAAUGCGGUUACCUUGGCGCAUAGGUGCGCGAAUGCACUUUUUCGCACCGUCGCGCGUCAAACGAGAUCGCGAAAAUUUCACACCACCAUUGGAAUCCUACCUGGUAUGCGAGACAUCGCCGCUAGAUAGGAAAAUGACCGUUGAACACGUGAAAAUGCGAUUUAUUCGUCCCCGAAGAGAAUCAGAUACAGAGUUUUCGAAAUAAAACAACGCGAUACUCUGUGUGCAUCGCAAGAUUUCUAACGCCGUGAUGUCGAUUAUCACUUUGCUAAACUACCAGCUAAAGUUUGAUUCAUCGUUACACUUUUAUUCAGGUGUAAUCAAGCGACUCGAGUAAAUGGACAAGUUUCGUAAUGAGUAAUUUAGAUAUUCAUCACCGUGCUGAUCCUCUUUUGGCCACCUCCGCCUCGUCGUUUCGCUCCCCGAGGCGGUGCAGAAAUCGACAAAUUAAUUCGGGGAGACUAUAAUUCCACAUUAAAGUCGACCAGUCUCCAUGGCAUGUUUGCCGACAACAAAAUUGCGCGCGCGAGCCUUAAAGCGACUCCGGUAGAUGAGACGGAUCAUCCGGACGGUUUAAUUCGAAACUUCAAUUCAGGAUCUGUUCCGCGCGCCUCGCUAUCCGCUAAAGUGGAUAACGUGCGGCCAGUCUGUACGCUUUCAUUGAACGCUCGAUCGCAUAUACGAUGUUUCACGAGCACAUAUGUAUGUACAUGCUUGCGCGGAUUGACCAUUACCAGAGAAUGCGACCUACAAGAUAGAGAUAGAUAGAUAGAUAGAGAGAGAUGAAGGAAGAGAACAGAGUGCAUCUGCGGAAGCAGUAAGCGAAUUGCAGUGUUGCAAUUAAAACAAAUGUAGGGGAAAGUUACUGAAAGCGCACCGAUCACCUAAAUCGUAUUUCAUCAAUAUUUUACAUUUUUAUUAACAUAGGUAACAUUUAAUCGCGAAAGAAUAAAAUAAAUAAGAAAUGUAUAAAACAAAAAUUUAACAGACUCUUAACAAUACUUUAAAAAUUAGAUAACAGCUGAUAAUAAUCGUAUAAUUUUGUACGAAUCUUUAUAUUUUCAUAAAAGAAAGUUUAUAUUAUGAAACAUUUUACAUUCACCGUAUAUUUGCAUAUUAUUACACAAAUUAAAUGAAAAUUUUUAUAAAAAGUAUAAUUUAUUUCUAUAUUAUACUUAAAAAUUUAUUAAAAUGUUUGUGGAUUAAAACGCUCAGUCAGUGCGGAAAUGAUGACUGUAUAAAACGCUGUAAAAGAAAAAAAACAUUCGAAGAUGAAAAGAAGCACAUAAAGGAAUUAGGAUGUAACGUUUCGGUGCUCUUUUCCAAUAGGAUAGCUUUUUUUCCCGGGAAGCCUCCAUACAUUGCUUCUCUCGGAAGCAAACUCGCAAAACAGGAUAUUAAAUUUUUAAUCCAUCACUAAAGCCGAAUGAAAACGGAUGUCCUGGAGCAAGAAAACUAGCACUAGAAACGCGACAAUUGGGUUUUUGCUUUCAAUUAAAGUUAUGUGAUUAUUUAUAGUACAAGUUAUUUUUGUCGUAAUUCUUUCUUCCGAGCUGUGCACUAAUUCUAGAUGUAGAAGAAGAUAUUGAAAUAUAUGCAUUGAAAAAUAAUAAAUUGGGAAUAAUGUACUAUUUAAACUUCUCGAUAUAAUUAUAAUAAGGUACCUUAAGCUCACUUAAUUUUUGUAGGAACACUAUUGUGUAAACAGAAUUUUUUAACUUUCGUUAAAUUGUCUCAUUCAAGUAUUUUGAUUAUCACUUAUAACAUAAAAAUAAUCACUAUUAGAGCAAAUUGUAGAGAUCAAUUAAAAAAAAAUAAAUUAAUUAAGCGUUUGAUAUUGUCUACAACCGAAUUAAAUACCAUUGACAUUUUUAAUUGAAACUAUCAAAGAGGCGAAAUAAAAAAUAGAAAAAAUAUUGUACGGAUAAAUUGUGUAUGACUACAAACACCAUUCCUGUAGUUUAUUCCUAAUGCUGCAAAUAAACUUCGUAAAUGAAGCGUAUUAAAAUGCUAUACAUGCAAUUUGGAUAUCACAACAUGUAUUUUUUAUUAUUCUCCUUCUCAUUGUCCAGUGUAAACUCCAUUGAAAUCGUGCUAAUUCCACCGUAAUUUCGGCGUGUUACAUUAUUAACAGGCACAUUUUUAAUAUGUAGAUAGAAGUUUAAUGGAGGCGACACGUUAGUCGUGUGUGUCGUAUUGCAAAACGCAAUAAGCGGCUUGGCGAACGCGUAAAUCGCGUCAGCGCCAAAAAUCAUGUUACUCCUGGACAUUGCGCGCUCUUCGUGUUUUGUCCGCGUGCUGGGCGUUAAUUUCGGAAAAUGCAAAAAGCAUUCCCAUGCUAACUGCAAAAACGCCGCGCCGCGGCCAUUGCCCGCACGCGUCGCGGUGGGAUUGUAUUCUAUAAAAUCAGAGUGCAUCCUGCCCUGCUUUGCAGAUCUGUUUGGUGUCACGAAACGUUUUUCGUGGAGGUGCACGAGAAAGAGGAGACGGAAAGGAGGAGGAGGAGGAGGAUGAGGUGGUACGCCGCACAAAGUUUUCAGACGAUACAUUGUUGUUGGCUACAGUUUUAACGUUGCUCCUAAUGGAUUACACACGUCUUACGGGCAGCGUAAAAUGACAAACAUUUUAUACAGCGCUCGCAAGAACUCGCGCUCCUUCUUCUUUUUUUUUUUACACUUUGCACGAUGAGUUUCCGAAGUAGUGCGAACCAUAUUGAAAGAGAAAGAGAAAAACAAAAACAAAAUAAAAUACAUCAAAGAGGAAACAAUCCGUUAUGUUUGGUAUUUUUUCAACGUCGCCGACGUGUUUUUCGGAAAUUCCCUUCGUGCGCGAGGACGAGUUUUGAAAGCAUUGUUGGUCUCCUCUGUGUCUCUGGACCCCCAUAAGUCUCGAUUCCCUUGACAUAUUGAAGACACCGUUGAUUGCUUUUCCAUUUGCAAGUGACGGACUCGAAACGCGCGGCGUAACUCCCGCGGGUGCGAAACGCCCGAAGCUAACGAGCUGCUCGUCGUCGUUCUCUGUCACGGGAGACCACUUCUGCAUUGUACGACACGCUCGAACGGAUUGCGCCGGUACGCAAAUAUUAUUUUAACGAAGUUACGGGGCUAUCGAACCCAUUGGUGGUCCGGUCACGCGAGUGUUAGUAUCGAUUUUCUCUUUCGUACGUAUGAAUAGUCUAGCACAGCCGCCGUUUUUAAAACACAGACGCACUUACGAGGAAACAUUCUCCAUUCGUUUUUCAGGCAGUUCCUGAAAACAUCGCUCAGUGAAAUAAGAGAAACUUACUCGUUUUUUUUUUAAUGUGUACAUAUUCUAUUUGUAUAACCAUGAAUUGGGGAAAAACACUCGACAUCAACACGACAUGUGUGACAUAUGCAACAAAUAUUUGCCUCUAUAUAUUUUUGAGGAAGUGUCGAAUCUUUCUUUUUGUUUCCGUUAAAAAAAAAAUUAUAAACCGCACGACUUAAUCUUCGCGUUUCGAUUCGGACGUACAGAUGUAGAAAAUAAAGAGGAGAAAUCCGAUAAUUAAAAAUGAUCCGGCAAAUGCCGCAGUUUAGACUUAAAUAAACAAUAUUGCAACUCUGCAAUUUGCCGUUUGCUAAACUACAUCACAAUUUUAUGAGACAUAUCAGGCUGACAGUAUGAAGAUAAAUCGAUGACAAUAUAAAACGAUAAUAUUGAACCUGGCAUUUAAUCAGGAUUCGGCAACGAGCGUAUAUCAUUUAAUUGAGCGUGAUAGCGUCGAUACGUGUCAAUUCACAGCAGUGUCGUUAACGCGAUCGGAAUAAUUCGAGCGGAAGGGAUUAAUUUGCAGCAACCGACCAGUCGUUUAAAUUCAUGUAUCAGAUUACGAGUUCGAGACUUCGAAAUGCGCGCAAAACGAGUAUAGGCGUAAUCAUUUUGGUGGUAAUUGAAUGUUUAAUCACACUGCGCAAAUGUGCAUGCCUCAUCGGCCGGGUGCCACAAUAAUCGAUUCCGUUGGUAAUUACGAAGGAUUCAGCAUGCGCCUCGGCCCUACAGUAAAUUACCGCGUAAUUUAAAAGAACGGCUUUGAAACUGUAAAAAUGCGAAUCGUCAUUGCCAAUUAACUUCGCAUAUAUACAACGUACACAUAAUUACUCGGAGGACACGUAACAACAUUAUGCAACUUUGCUUUAUAUAUUACAUGUGUUCAACCGUUCACGUCGAAACCAACGACGCGGCGCGCGCUGGCAACCACAUUUUGUAGCAACAGAUUGUACUCGUAAUUGCUUUUUAAGUAAUCGAGUUUCCCGUUAACAUGUUUUUUUUUUUUUUCAAUUUUUGCGAUACACGUUGUUAUGUCGAAAAAAUAGAUUUCACAAAAGCCUCUUAAUACAGUUGUUAUCGUUACAUUUCAAAACCGUAUAUAUGUUUAUACAUCGCGACGUUUUGUACAAUACAUUGAUUUCGUCACCCUCGUGGUGAAUUUUUAUCAUUUUAUUAUUUCUUGUGUUUCUACACCAGUUAAUCUGUUUUUCUUCAAAUCGUAUACAAGUUAUUUUGUUAUAAGCCUUUUAUUCUGCGUAAAGUUUAUGCCCCUCAUUCCUCUUGUAUGCGUAGUCACUCUAAUGCAGGAUUAGAGCGCACACUUUAGCUGGCGGAGGGUCAUAAAUUUCACCGAUUUUAUCGAGGAAAAUUUAGAGACACUAUAAAACCUCGUCGAACGCAGAUGUAUGCAUAUAUGCGAAUAUAUCGGUAUAGUAAGUUUAGCAGCACAUUAAUCUGUCUGCGAUAUUCGAGACACUUAGAGACACGAUGGUAGUUUCAGCAUUUUGAACCCCGAGUUAUAAAAAAAAAUCUUUUUGCCUUUCUUGUUUUGCAACAAAUACAGUAUUCCUUUAUUUUAAUCUUUCUUUGUGUAUAAUUAUUAAAAUAACAUGAUUACAUUAGUAUCAGCUACAUAAAUUGAUCAGAAAUUAACAUCAGUUGUAUCUGAUUUUUUAAGUAUUGUUAAAAAUGCACAAAACAAAAUGGAAUAUGCAAUCUAUUAAAUUUUUGCCUGUAUUACUCAUUUUUUUCUCAUUUAUUUCAUAUUUUUAUCGCUAAAUGUUGCAUAUUAAAUAAAAAUGUAAUUUUUAAAUUCAAUAAUUCUCCCCGUAUAUGGGGAGAAAAGUAUAAAUAUUAAUUGGCUAUCAAUCGAUUAAAUUAAAUUGUAAUCCUAUUUAUUACGUGAUUAUAGAGUGUGCGAUUUACGAGCGCUUGUAACUCCUGUCUUCCCUGGUCGCGAUAACAUGAUCGUAAAAGCCCAAUCCACUCAGUUUUCAUCAAGAAUUCAUCGGGACAUCGAUCUUUCUCACAGCUCCACGGAUAUAGCAGAAUUGAUCUGGCGAAUGUAAAAAUGUAAAUGCAAUGGGGUUUAAAAUUGAUCUGUAUUAUCCGUUAUCUUUUACACACAUAAUUUUUACAAUUUUUUUUUAGUAUUCUGUAUAGCAUUGACAAUUAAAUAAAUUUUUGACAAAAUAAAAUAUUUUGCAAUAAAACAAUAAAAAAACUUUUAUUGAUAGGUAUUUUACUAAACAAAUUUCAUGUAUAAAAUAACAAAUACAGAAAAUAACAUAGCCCUUAACAGAAAAGAUUAUAUCAAAUUGAGUACGCCAUGUUCGCGUCGCACAGGAAAUGAUUAAUUAACGGCGGAAUUGAACGAGACAGAUCCGAGAAAUCGCUUAAUGAAGCUGCGGAGGAGCAUCGCAUUGCUCUCGGUUCGCCGAAUUGGCUGGUAAAGCGAUGCGAGCCGUCCUUAAACCUGUCCAUCCAAACGCGCUAGUAUCAUUAUUCAAGUCCUGCCCGGGUAGGUUCUCCCCGGGAAGAGGCUCCGUGAGACGAAGAGGAGGGGUGCAGGUCGAUGCGCAGGUGGAUGCAAGACACAACGAGAGAGAGAGAGAGAGAGAACCGAGAGUCACUACUCCUCUGGACCAGCCACUACCGCGGUUUCACGAAGGAACUCGAAACUUCCCUCGUUCUGGUCGUCGUGGAACUAGCUACUUAAGGUAACGGGAGUUCCGGCGGACGAUCCUCGAAGGAUCAACACGAUCUAACUUUCCGACCGGCGGAGUCUACUCGCGUAUUACACGGGGAAAGGAGAACAGGCGGCGCACGUUUCGUAAGUAAGUCUGCAAUUUUUUUUUUCAUCUUUCACUUCUUUGAUUCUCAAAUUAUUUGCGGUUGCAACAUAGAAAAGCUAGCUUUGAGUGAGAGAAGAUUAUCCCAAUUAAGGAAAUUACGUGAGUAUCGCCGCAAGGAGAUUAACGUCGACACUACGUUCUGUUCGGAAAGAAAUUAAACGCUUUUCUACACUAGCACGAAAGAGAUAUUACGUCAUAUGACGUAAUAAGAGAUAAAUCAUUAUUCUUUGAGGACAGUAAAAUUAUAAAUCAGUCAAUUUAGCGGAGUGUAUAUAAGUGAACGCCUGAGUUUUUACGUAUGCAGGAAGCAAUUUAUCUUUAAAUAAAUCAGAAAGAGAUCCAGUUGAUGUCCAGGAGAGUGAUAGAUGCUGUUUUUAUUUCAGGUUUUUAUCGCUUUGAAAGAAUAAUUUAUCUCGCAAAAAAUUAGCCUUCCGCUCUUAAA